rnacentral:lncRNA from 1 species
UUCUCUUUUCCAUUAAAAUGAUAAAAGUCAAUGUACAUAACUACUAGUACUAGCCCAAACAGUUUGUUUGAAAUUUGACUGACUUGUGUGGUCCUAACACUCCAAUACCCUUAAAAUGAAGGCAAGUAAUAUAGGCACCGCAUGUCUGUCGUAGGGUGUAGAAAACAUAAAUAUGGAAGGAUGAACCAAGAUUUCACCAGUUUCUUAAUUGUUGCAUUCC